rnacentral:tRNA from 1 species
GGCUCUGAAGGUAAAGAACCUCCCUGAAAUGCAGGAAACCCAGGUUCAAACCCUGGGUCA